rnacentral:lncRNA from 1 species
CAGCAGCUCCGGUGGGCUCAGAGGCACCUUACCCACGGGUGGGACAGGGUGAGGAGGAUUGUCCUGCUCCCCCACUGUCCCGUGGGGUGCACCCAGAGCCGGUGUGGGUGGCUCUGAGGGCAGGGUGCCCACCGGUCCCGGGGGUCUGGCAGGUCGCAGGGCUCCUGUGUCCUGCCCCACAGCCCCGAGGACGGGGACAGGGCUGGGGACGGGGGACCCGGGCUGGGGGCCAGCAUCCUGGACAAAAGGGCUGGAUUAUCCGGUACAAGCGUACCCCCUGCCGACGAGCUGGAAAAACACAGCUCCCCGGACACCCCCUCAAAAAAAAAAAAAAAAAAAAAAAAAAAAAAAAAAAAAAAAGCACUGAUUGAUUUUUUGGGGGGAGGUCCCCGGCUGGAGAGCAAGGGGCUGGAGCCGGGCGUCGCCGGCGACACGCGUGGACACCCGCCCACCCGGGUUUCGCCAGACCCGGUAUCAGCAAGUUUUUUCCACAGGAGGUUUGUGGUUUCCAGCCUUUCCCGGGCCGUGUGUCCCCUCCGCGCCGCGUACGGGGCCCCUCUGCCCCUCUCCCCCCCGGCGGUGCCCUGCCCUGGGGCAUCCCCGGGGUUGGUUUUUCCGGUGCCUGGGGUUGGUUUGCACUUUCCCCUCCGCUGUUUGAUUUUUUUUUUUAAUUAUUUAUUUUAAUUUUUUUUUUUUUUACCUUUUACUUCUAGAAAGCAAUUUUUUUUCCCCAUCUUCUGCCCCCCCCCCCCCCCCCCCCCACCUCCCCGGCAGAGCUGCCCCGACCAAUCAGGGCCCUGUGGGGUUGGGGGAAUCGGGGCCGUGGGCUUUAAAAGCGGAGCCCUUUGUGCGCCGGAGCCCGGCGGGGUUCCCCCGCACCGGCAGCCGGGGAUGCGGGACCGGGAUGUGGGGCCGCCCGCAGCCUCCGCCGCCGGGAGGAGGAGCAGAAGCAGCAGCAGGAGCAGCAAAAGCCUGGACCACCCUGGCCUCAGGACCCCAGCUUCCCCCCUCGGCAGCUGGGGAGUUACAGGCGGGCAGGGAAAAAGAGCCUGUUUCAUCAGCGGGAAAUGACACCCGGGGGGUGUCCCUUCCCCUGCAGAAGGACCCGACCUGGUCACAGCAAGCACCCACAGACACUCGAGCACCCCCAGCCACGCUCACACCCACCGGGCACACUCACACACACACACACAGCUGGACAUGUGCACAGCUGGACACACACACACCCCAGCCCCUCGACACACACCCGACCCCCCCCCAGCCCUGGUCCUUCACCCCCUGUAGUGUUUUGGGGUUAAUAAAA